AGAUGUGAGGGCAAUCUGGCUGCUGCGUUUGUCAUCCCAUUGACUGGUUGAUUCUGCUGACUUGGCUGGGUCAGAGUGUUCCCCCCUGUCACCUCCAAGUGUACCUCUCUAGAACUUGCCUACCUGGUCAGAGAGCACAAUCUCCCCAACAGAAGAGGACUCUUCUUCCGUCAAAGACACCCUAGUAGCUGUGCCCUCUGCUAGAACCUCCAUACUCCAGGAAUCACUUCCUCCAUUACCAGUGGCUAGUGUAUGGACACCUUCAGGCACACAGGGUUAGGGGGGAGUAGUAAGGAUGGUCCUCCUGAGCC
ensembl:misc_RNA 7SK 7SK RNA